AUGAAGACGUCUGGUAAUACCCGUCCCACUGUGACAGUGCUGCCCCCCUCCAGUGAGGAUCUGCACCAGGGGAAGGCCACCCUCGUGUGUCUGGCCAACAAGGGCUUCCCCUCAGACUGGAGUCUGUCCUGGAAGGUGGAGGGCAGCAUUAACACCUUCACCUGGGAGGAGGAAAAGAGCCAAGUAGUGCAGCAGAAGGACGGUCUCUACAGCUGGAGCAGCACCCUGAGGCUCCCUGCACACCAGUGGAGAAAGGUGGGCUCUGUGACCUGUGAGGCCACCCAGGGCUCCCAGACUGCAGUCACAGAGACACUGAGGAGAGACCAGUGUUCCCAGUACUGAGAUAGAAUGGUUCUUUUUGUUCUGAAACUGUUAU